GACGAACGCUGGCGGCGUGCCUAAUACAUGCAAGUAGGACGCAGUUGCGAACGGGUGAGUAACGCGUCGGUAACUGCCUAUUAGAGGGGGAUAACUAUUGGAAACGAUAGCUAAUACCGCAUACUAGUAGAUGGACCUGCGUUGUAUUAGCUAGUAGGUAGGGUAAUGGCCUACCUAGGCGACGAUACAUAGCCGACCUGUGAGGGUGAUCUGCCAAACGAGGACUUGGGCACGGCCCAGACUCCUACGAGAGGAAGCAAUAGGGAAUCAUCGGGAAUGGGGGGAAACCUGACCGAGCAACGCCGGGUGAGAGAAGAAGGUUUUCGGGGCGUAAAGCUCUGUUGUUAAGGAAGCGGUACUUAACCAGAGAGGGACGGCUAACUACGUGCCAGCGGCCGCGGUAAUAC
rnacentral:rRNA from 1 species